UACGGAGGGUGCGAGCGUUGUCCGGAAUCACUGGGCGUAAAGGGCGCGUAGGCGGCCUGAUAAGUAGGGGGUGAAAUCCUGCGGCUUAACCGCAGGGCUGCCUUCUAAACUGUCAGGCUCGAGCACAGUAGAGGCAGGUGGAAUUCCCGGUGUAGCGGUGGAAUGCGUAGAGAUCGGGAAGAACAUCAGUGGCGAAGGCGGCCUGCUGGGCUGUUGCUGACGCUGAGGCGCGAAAGCUAGGGGAGCAAACAGG
rnacentral:rRNA from 1 species